rnacentral:rRNA from 1 species
ACGGUAACAGAAAGCAGCUUGCUGCUUUGCUGACGAGUGGCGGACGGGUGAGUAAUGUCUGGGAAACUGCCUGAUGGAGGGGGAUAACUACUGGAAACGGUAGCUAAUACCGCAUAACGUCGCAAGACCAAAGAGGGGGACCUUAGGGCCUCUUGCCAUCGGAUGUGCCCAGAUGGGAUUAGCUAGUAGGUGGGGUAACGGCUCACCUAGGCGACGAUCCCUAGCUGGUCUGAGAGGAUGACCAGCCACACUGGAACUGAGACACGGUCCAGACUCCUACGGGAGGCAGCAGUGGGGAAUAUUGCACAAUGGGCGCAAGCCUGAUGCAGCCAUGCCGCGUGUAUGAAGAAGGCCUUCGGGUUGUAAAGUACUUUCAGCGGGGAGGAAGGGAGUAAAGUUAAUACCUUUGCUCAUUGACGUUACCCGCAGAAGAAGCACCGGCUAACUCCGUGCCAGCAGCCGCGGUAAUACGGAGGGUGCAAGCGUUAGUCGGAAUUACUGGGCGUAAAGCGCACGCAGGCGGUUUGUUAAGUCAGAUGUGAAAUCCCCGGGCUCAACCUGGGAACUGCAUCUGAUACUGGCAGGCUUGAGUCUCGUAGAGGGGGGUAGAAUUCCGGGUGUAGCGGUGAAAUGCGUAGAGAUCUGGAGGAAUACCGGUGGCGAAGGCGGCCCCCUGGACGAAGACUG